AGAACACACAGAGUGCCAAGUGUUGAUGUAUAUGUGAUUAGUCAGUGCAGUGCUGGCUUCCCUGUGAAUGUGAUUCACUGCACUGACGUAGUCCAGCCAUGGCUAUAGCACAGGACCUAGAGACCAAGAUCCCUGUGCACUGUGGAUGGACCUGUGAAAUGAGAUGGUCCUUUCUCUGGAAAAGCUGUCAGAUGAGCUCAAUGAAUCUCAGAUGAGCUGAGCGGAUCUCGGAGGAGCUGAAUGGAUCUCAGAUAAGCAAAAUGGACCUCAGAUGAGCUGCAUGAAUCUCAGAGGAGUUCAAUGGAUCUCACAUUGGCUGAUUGCAUCUCAGAUUGGGUGUGAGGUUUCCUUUGGUGAUCAAGGAUGCUGACUGGGACUUUCAAACUGCCCGUGCAUUUCAGGAGAGACCCCAGGCUGGCAGUGGGAGACACAGACAGGCAGUCUCGAAGAUGCUCAGGGAUAUGGCUGUCGCCAUCACAGGGUCCUCUGGAAAUGUCAUUGCACCCAGACAACAGGAAGCAGUCUAGAGAACACAAUGUUCACAUUCCCAAGCAUCAAUCUACUUCAUAAAAGGAUGAUGGGCAUUGAAGAACCUCCAUAUGGACUUUGCUUUCAAUGUGACAAAGCUACCCAUUUGGGCAAGAGACUGUCCUUGCCUCAACUGCUGACAGUAUACUGUCAAAACUGGAUAUGUAAAACACAAAGAAAAAUUACUGUUGAACUUUUCAAAGACAAGACAGGACAUUCCUUCAAAAUUCCUGCUUCAUAUAAAAGUCUGGCAGAUAUUCUAGGUAUGUUGACUGAAGACGGAUAUCCCAACAUUGUAGAAGAACCUCAGGUAACUGUCCAGGAAGCCAGAUGUCUCUGUCAUUUCUAUAGUUUUGGAAGUGGUUUGCACUGCACUUCUUGUUCACUCAGGUAUUAUUAUAUCAUUUUGGGCAUUUUUGUUGAGUUGAAGACUAGAUAGUCAUAAGUUACAGUUUUUCUUAGUUAUAGUUAUGACAGAAGUUAUGACUAGUAGUCAUAGUUAUGAGUACAAAAUUUUGGACUCAAAAAGUUAAGAUAAAUAAUGAAGUAUUUUCUAUGAAUUUGCCAAAUACAAAUGAACUAGAUAUUGUAAAUGUAAUUAUUACUUGAUAACUGUUAUUAUUAUAUAUAGUUUCACUAUGUAAAAUUUAAAACCUUUCAUUUUAUCUAGACAAAAAGGAGGAAAUGUUAUGGAAUAGAAUAUUUGUUUAACUAUAUAAGGAAUUGUCCCAUUUGUUUGCGUUGCAGAAUAAUUGUUUAACUACGUAAAGACAUUGCAAUUUUUGAUACUGUAUUUGUUUAACUAUGUAAAGAUAUGUUGCAUUUGUUUAUGCUGUAUUUGUUUAGUUAUAUAAAGAUGUGCUGUUGUUUUA